GGGUUGUGAGGUUAAGCGACUAAGCGUACACGGUGGAUGCCCUGGCAGUCAGAGGCGAUGAAGGACGUGCUAAUCUGCGAUAAGCGUCGGUGAGGUGAUAUGAACCGUUAUAACCGGCGAUUUCCGAAUGGGGAAACCCAGUGUGUUUCGACACACUAUCAUUAACUGAAUCCAUAGGUUAAUGAGGCGAACCGGGGGAACUGAAACAUCUAAGUACCCCGAGGAAAAGAAAUCAACCGAGAUUCCCCCAGUAGCGGCGAGCGAACGGGGAGGAGCCCAGAGCCUGAAUCAGUGUGUGUGUUAGUGGAAGCGUCUGGAAAGGCGUGCGAUACAGGGUGACAGCCCCGUACACAAAAAUGCACAUAUUGUGAGCUCGAUGAGUAGGGCGGGACACGUGGUAUCCUGUCUGAAUAUGGGGGGACCAUCCUCCAAGGCUAAAUACUCCUGACUGACCGAUAGUGAACCAGUACCGUGAGGGAAAGGCGAAAAGAACCCCGGCGAGGGGAGUGAAAAAGAACCUGAAACCGUGUACGUACAAGCAGUGGGAGCCUCUUAAUGGGGUGACUGCGUACCUUUUGUAUAAUGGGUCAGCGACUUAUAUUCUGUAGCAAGGUUAACCGAAUAGGGGAGCCGAAGGGAAACCGAGUCUUAACUGGGCGUUAAGUUGCAGGGUAUAGACCCGAAACCCGGUGAUCUAGCCAUGGGCAGGUUGAAGGUUGGGUAACACUAACUGGAGGACCGAACCGACUAAUGUUGAAAAAUUAGCGGAUGACUUGUGGCUGGGGGUGAAAGGCCAAUCAAACCGGGAGAUAGCUGGUUCUCCCCGAAAGCUAUUUAGGUAGCGCCUCGUGAAUUCAUCUCCGGGGGUAGAGCACUGUUUCGGCAAGGGGGUCAUCCCGACUUACCAACCCGAUGCAAACUGCGAAUACCGGAGAAUGUUAUCACGGGAGACACACGGCGGGUGCUAACGUCCGUCGUGAAGAGGGAAACAACCCAGACCGCCAGCUAAGGUCCCAAAGUCAUGGUUAAGUGGGAAACGAUGUGGGAAGGCCCAGACAGCCAGGAUGUUGGCUUAGAAGCAGCCAUCAUUUAAAGAAAGCGUAAUAGCUCACUGGUCGAGUCGGCCUGCGCGGAAGAUGUAACGGGGCUAAACCAUGCACCGAAGCUGCGGCAGCGACACUAUGUGUUGUUGGGUAGGGGAGCGUUCUGUAAGCCUGUGAAGGUGGCCUGUGAGGGUUNCGUUCUGUAAGCCUGUGAAGGUGUGCUGUGAGGCANUGGGUAGGGGAGCGUUCUGUAAGCCUGUGAAGGUGGCCUGUGAGGGUUGCUGGAGGUAUCAGAAGUGCGAAUGCUGACAUAAGUAACGAUAAAGCGGGUGAAAAGCCCGCUCGCCGGAAGACCAAGGGUUCCUGUCCAACGUUAAUCGGGGCAGGGUGAGUCGACCCCUAAGGCGAGGCCGAAAGGCGUAGUCGAUGGGAAACAGGUUAAUAUUCCUGUACUUGGUGUUACUGCGAAGGGGGGACGGAGAAGGCUAUGUUGGCCGGGCGACGGUUGUCCCGGUUUAAGCGUGUAGGCUGGUUUUCCAGGCAAAUCCGGAAAACCAAGGCUGAGGCGUGAUGACGAGGCACUACGGUGCUGAAGCGACAAAUGCCCUGCUUCCAGGAAAAGCCUCUAAGCAUCAGGUAACAUCAAAUCGUACCCCAAACCGACACAGGUGGUCAGGUAGAGAAUACCAAGGCGCUUGAGAGAACUCGGGUGAAGGAACUAGGCAAAAUGGUGCCGUAACUUCGGGAGAAGGCACGCUGAUAUGUAGGUGAAGCGACUUGCUCGUGGAGCUGAAAUCAGUCGAAGAUACCAGCUGGCUGCAACUGUUUAUUAAAAACACAGCACUGUGCAAACACGAAAGUGGACGUAUACGGUGUGACGCCUGCCCGGUGCCGGAAGGUUAAUUGAUGGGGUUAGCGGCAACGCGAAGCUCUUGAUCGAAGCCCCGGUAAACGGCGGCCGUAACUAUAACGGUCCUAAGGUAGCGAAAUUCCUUGUCGGGUAAGUUCCGACCUGCACGAAUGGCGUAAUGAUGGCCAGGCUGUCUCCACCCGAGACUCAGUGAAAUUGAACUCGCUGUGAAGAUGCAGUGUACCCGCGGCAAGACGGAAAGACCCCGUGAACCUUUACUAUAGCUUGACACUGAACAUUGAGCCUUGAUGUGUAGGAUAGGUGGGAGGCUUUGAAGUGUGGACGCCAGUCUGCAUGGAGCCGACCUUGAAAUACCACCCUUUAAUGUUUGAUGUUCUAACGU
rnacentral:rRNA from 1 species